rnacentral:rRNA from 1 species
GACGAACGCUGGCGGCGUGCCUAAUACAUGCAAGUCGAGCGGAAGUUGAAGAGCUUGCUCUUCAACUUUAGCGGCGGACGGGUGAGUAACACGUGGGCAACCUGCCCUGCAGAUCGGGAUAACUCCGGGAAACCGGUGCUAAUACCGAAUAGUUUUCGCCACCUCCUGGUGGCGUACGGAAAGACGGUUUCGGCUGUCACUGCAGGAUGGGCCCGCGGCGCAUUAGCUAGUUGGUGGGGUAACGGCCCACCAAGGCGACGAUGCGUAGCCGACCUGGGAGGGUGAUCGGCCACACUGGGACUGAGACACGGCCCAGACUCCUACGGGAGGCAGCAGUAGGGAAUCUUCCGCAAUGGACGAAAGUCUGAUGGAGCAACGCCGCGUGAGUGACGAAGGUUUUCGGAUCGUAAAACUCUGUUGUGAGGGAAGAACAAGUACCAACUAACUACUGGUACCUUGACGGUACCUCACCAGAAAGCCACGGCUAACUACGUGCCAGCAGCCGCGGUAAGAC